GCUGGCCUUGCAGUGGCUGCAGACGUCUUAGAGCUUUUACUGCAGUGGCAAGGAAGUGCGUGUCCAACCUCAACAGAGCCACGCCCACAGCAGAGCCCUGGGGAUCUCUGUGCAGAGACAAGCGACACUGGACCAGCAGACCAGGAGAGACGGUGCCAGGUAGCAUCUUAGGGAAGCACAGCUGUUGCUAACUAAAGAGUACCCAUGGGGAUGCUGGGAGGGAGAGAGGUAUGUGUUGCAAGUGCCUAGAUGAGCAGGGGCUCAGCAGAGAGUCUCUCACACACACGAAAAAGCACAGGUCCCUGGCCGAGGUCUCAGAGUCAUCAUGCAGGAGGAUAGACAUUCAUAAAACUCAAAAAGGCACAAUAAGACUGUUCUUUCAGGCUACUGAUGUUCCCAGAAAGUUGCUGCAUCUCUCCAGAGAUGGAUGAGACUUCAGAACUAAUGGGUCCUUCUGGGGCCUGAGAUACCUGACCCACUGGCAAAACCACUUCUUUAAAAAUUACUUUUUGUUUUUUAUCUACUUGCAAUAGGUGAUUUAUGCCUCAUAUACUUUCCAAAAAGAGUCACUGCCACUCCGUACCGAGGUGAAAUCCGCUUGGUACCGUAACACCUCAUAGGUGGUAAAUGGACACCUACUACCCAGCGAGGUCUUGAUGCCCUCGUCAGGGCCAGUCUGAAAGCCCUGAUCGGGGAGGCUCCCGCCCAUUUUAUUGAUUUAUUUUUAAAUUUUUUAAUGAUUUUUAUUUUUUUCCAUUUUAGCUGGUUUACAGCAUUCUGUCCAUUUUCUACUGUACAGCAAGGCGACCCAGCCACACAUACACAGGUACAUGAUCUUGCUCCACCAUAAGUGACUAGAUACAGUUCCCAGUGUUAUACGGCAGGAUCUCAUUGCUUAUCCAUUCCAAAGGCUACAGUUUGCAUCAAUUAACCCCAAAUUCCCAGUCCCUCCCAUUCCCUCCCCUCCCCUCCCCCUUGGCAACCACAAGUCUGUCCUUCAAGUCCAUGAUGCUCACCCAUUUUAGAAAAAGGUGGUGUCUGGUAUAAACCAAGGUUUUGUAACUAACAUACAGGGCUGGUUCCUAUGAGGAGGCUAGCAGAUAAAUUCAAAGAAACGUCUUUGGGAAAGACUGAACUUAGAACAAGUUUUCAUCAAACAUCAACCCAAAACGUCACAAGCGUCAGGUGGAGAGAAAACACAAUGAACAAGUUAGAUAUGAGAGUUUCUUCCUUCUGCCAAAUACAAAUGAUUCACAGAGUUCUGCCUUAGGAGUAGAGAAGAAAAAGUUCUCAACAAACAAAGAAUUUCUCUUUGAUUUUCAGAAAGCGGUCCUUUAUUGAAUCUCACCUGUCAGAGGCUCCCGGCUCAGAUGAAAUGAUAGAUCAUAACAUAUAGGCUCUGUCUCCCAGCAGAACAAGAUUCAACUCCUAGCCCUAAGACCUUCUGUGUACCCUUAAGGAAGUUGCUUGGCAUUCCUGGACCAGAGGUUUCCCAUGUGUAAAUGAAAAUAAUAAAUGGCCAGAAGCCCCAAAGCUAUGCUCACAAUCUUAAGUUUUAAACUAUAAUAAGGAAAUUUAGUGUGAGUUGAAAAAUACUUCUUAUUCAAGGUUUCAGUGAUUGGACUUUACUUGAUUUUUUUUUUUUUUUUUUUUUUUUUUUUUUGUCUUUUUGUCUCUUUAGGGCUGCACUUAAGACAUGUGGAGGUUCCAAGGCUAGGGUCCAUCAGAGCUGUAGCCACGGGCCUACACCACAGCCAUAGCAACACAGGAUCCGAGCCGUGUCUGUGACCUACACCACAGCUCACGGCAACGCUGGAUCCUUAACCCACUGAGGGAGGCCAGGGAUCGACCCCCCAUCCUCAUGGAUGCUGGUCGGGUUCGCUAACUCCUGAGCCACGACGGGAACUCCAAUUUACUUAAUAUUUUGGUUGUUGUUGUUGUUGUUGUUUUUCAUUAUGUGUUUUGGUUUUUAAUAGGGAGCUCUAUUUUUUAAAGGAAGAUCCUUUAGUUUCAGCUAAACAUAUCUUUGGGAAAUAAGCUCUUGGGACCUCAAGACAAUAACCAAGUUCUCCUAAUUGAAACUAAAAUACCUAAGAGGAAAUAAGCUGGCAAUUGAAUGCUGACUUGCAAGCCUGAUUAGACAAAGUUCAAUAGAUAAGGAGCUUUCUAACAGUUGAGGUUCCCCAACAAGGGCAUGCAUUCGCUCACUCCAAGGUUAAUUUCUUGCGUCUCCUCUGGGCAUCUUUGGGAAGUUGUAGAGGAAGAGUCCCAGACUGCAAGGAAAGUUGACUAGAGGGCACUUUUGUUCACUUUUUAUACUUGGAGAAGCACGUCUGUGAGUAGUUGAGACGGAGAGCUGGGAAGAAGGAACCCACCUAACUAUGUUUUCUUGCAAAUUAGGUGCUGUGACAAUUCAGGCAAUAAAACAUACAGACACAGUAUCUGUGCUCUGUUAACGACCUGGAGAAAGCAAAUGCUAACACUUGAUGGAAGCACGAGAAUGAGGCCUUGGGAAAAUACCCAGCAGAGUUCUGCCUGCCAGUUCUCCCUUUGAGGCUGUGAUUAGCAUUCCACAGCUUCUCAAAGAAACUUCUGCAGAAACAGGCUCAUCUCCCAGUUGGAGCUGCCCUUGACCCAUGAGGUGGGAAACAGAUCAGCAUAUAGUUCUUUGUAGCUCUGGUUAUCCACAGGUGCCAGCCCUGAGCCUCUCUGGGUUGUGGAAACUGAACGCAUCACGGCGGGCCUGCUUCCCUGACCCGCUUACCAAGGAAGCAGUAAGGCUGUGAGUUGUGAGUGGGUCCAGACCAGAGUGGAAAGGGACAGGCAGUACUGCCAUUGAGGCUGGGGGGGCGGGGGAUGACUUUGAACCACCAGACCCAACCUUGCUCAAAGCAUCUGUGGCAAAUCAGGAGGCUUUGUGGGGCUGCUGGAAGCCCAAUAGGAGAAUCGCAGCACAGACCUCCAGGGCUUGGGAGCAAAGACAUGUCCUGCUAGCUAACUUCUCUUCUUCUUCAGAGAAGCCAUCCCUGGCUUGUAACUGGUCCUCAGGAGAGGCACCCAACCAGGAGAUAUCAAGCAACCAUGGGACCUGAGUUGCCCAUUGUGAACUGAUUGCUCUCUGAUCCUCAAAAAUCAAUAAAGAGCAUUCUAUGGCCAAAAGGAAGAAGCAUAUUCAAGCUGCUGGUAUCACAUUGAAUGUGUCCAGCAGAGGCUGGAGUCACAGAUGAGAAGAGGCUGUGGCACAAGUGGAGGUCACAGUAACGCCUCAAGUCCAGGACCCCCAAGUGAUACACAGUCAUCUUCCAGCUGGUAAGUUAUCGGAGGACCAUCAUCCCUCGUAUUAAAAAUUAGAGCUGUGCGUCUCAGCUUCUGGGGAUUUUACCCCCAAAAGUCUGAAGACAUUUUUAGUAUCACCACUAGGGGGCGCUACAGACAUCUCCUGGGUAGCAGCCAAGGAUGCCGUUAAAGAGCACCUCCUGCAGCCUAAUGAAGAAUUCUCUGACCCAAAAUAUCAAGAGUGGAAAGGCUGAGAAACUGUUGCAGAGGAAUGGAAAUAAGAGAAAAUAAAGGAAAUCAGUAAUGGCCAUAUACCCAAUAAAAAAUAUGCACAGAUACAAACUUCUUCAUUCCUGUAACGCACAAGGUCAGGGUUGAUGGUUUUUACUCCCCAUCCAUAUUUCUUCUGUGUGCGUGUUAAUUCCUGGCAUGGAGAUCAUGCUCUCCCCAGACCCCUCAAAGGAGCUUUAAAGCCAGAAAGAGUUUGAGACCCUGCCCUAAGUAUUUUUUUAUGUCUUCCUACUCCUGCCCUAGACCCUGAGUCCAGGAGACAACAGGCCUAGACACUCCCAGGAAGGCUUCUUCUCCCCCCACCAGUCUGAUUUAGAGAUUCCAAAGGGGUGUAUUUUUGGCUCAAGGUCGUUUUCAUCUGUGCAAACAACAAGAAUACUUUUACAUUUGCAUUGUAGUCCUGCUCCACAUCUAUGAUCAGUAUUCAAAUAACUUCUUUCACUCAUUGAAUCAGUAAAUAUUAAUUGAGCUUCUACUGUGUGUCAGAAGCUAUGCUAGUGGAUGUUAAAAUGGUAAAGAGACCAACUUUCUGUCUGUCUUCCCAAGGCUCCUGGACUAUGGCUCUGUGUCAUUAUCAUUUCCAUUGUAGGCUUCUUGAAAUGGGAGGCCAGAAGAAUUCACAUCUCAUCUUGUUCUUUCUGCAAGAAUCUGUGGUUCCCUCAGGUCAUCUGCUGCCCUGGGCCUAACCUGCCUAGAACCUAUUGGUUGGGAGAAGCAUCGAGCACCAUCCCAUUAUCUUGAGAAAUGUCCUUCCACAACUUUCCCACCAUCUCUCUCUGUGGGUUAUGAGCUGUCCCCUUACUGUCUGCUUAGCCUGGGACUCUGAAGGAUGGACUAGGAAAAGGUCAAAUGCACACACUUAAAAUGCAAACAAAAAUACCAACCUCCUUCAAGAGGCCAGGACACUCUAACUCGAGGCCCCUAACCUCGCAUCCCUCUAUUGCCACCACCAGUACAACUUUUCUUUUGCAAGUCCUUGGAUUAUUCCCAGGGUGAGCUUCCAGACUGAGCCAAAGCUGAGCAUGCUUUUGGCCUUCAAUGGUCGAGAAAUAUCUGUCUACUCAGAAGGUCAACCUGCCAGAAGCCCUUCUCCACGAGGGUUCAAGGAGCCACCUGCAAAGAAUAGCAGGGGGAUAGGAAAGAGCUCUUCUGGAAGUCCAGCUUCGAGGAGACGUCUACAGCAUGUCUUACUCUUGCUCAUCCGUUCCACCUCCAUUGCCUUGCCUUCUGAUUCCCACCCACCAGGGCUCCUAUCAUCCACAGUUUUUAACUAUGGUUAACGACGUGACAUUGCAUCCUGCCUCUCUCUAUCUCAGAACACUCGACUCUAUCCCUUUGCAGUUAGAGUAUACUCAGAAUUUUAGACUUUUCCACUUUUCUGGUGUUCUCUUUAUUAUUUAUUCAGGAAAUAUUUAUUGAGAAUUUACUACACAUUCUUUUAGGCACCUGGGCCACAGUCACAGAGAAAGUAGUGCCAGACAAUAAACAAAUGAACAGAGGUAUAAACAUCAGAGCACGGUGAGAGCUCUAGAGAGUGAUGGCGGCAGGGAGCAGGGUUACACACAGACAGAAAGGAAGGGACAAAGAGACCUGAAUGAAGCAAAGGAUGAAUCAUGCAAUUUCUGGGAAGAAAGCAUUUCAAGCGGGGAGAAGAGCAAGUGCAAAAGCCCUGCGGUGGGAACAUGCUUUACAUGUUUAAGAGCCAGGGUAGCUGGAGCAAAGUUAGCUCAGGGGCCUGUUACCAGAUCAGGUCAGAGAGGCAGGCAGAAUGCAAAUCACAUCAGGUCUCAUGAGACACAGUACAAUUUGGAUCUUAUUUUGAGUAUGAUGGGAAACAGAGGAAUCUGGGCAAGGAAGUGACAUGACCUGAUUUUCAUUCAAAAAUAAAGAAGAAGAAUCAAAGAAUCACUGUGGCUGCUAUGAGGAAAAUCACCUAUAGGGAACCAAGGGGGUGGGCAUGGAGACCUUUUAGGAAGCAAUGGCAGAUGGGCAAGUGAGAUGAGGACAACUUGGACUGGCCAAAGAGAUGGCUUCUGGUCUGAUUUGGGACAUACUUUAAAGUGAGCACUGAUGGUUAGACAAGCGUGAGAGAGAAAGAGCAGCAUCAAGACUGGGAGCUAGGAUUUGGUCUGAGCAGCCAGGUAGCACAUCAUUACCAUGAGAAACUCCAGGGGAGUCCAUGUGAGGGGAUGUGUCGGGAUUCAGAAUCAAGGCUUUGAUCCUGUUAGACAGGCAUCCAGUGGAGAUAAGCAGACACCUAGAACUGCGGUGAGAGGCAGGUGUGCAGAGGUGACAGAGGUGUGCAGAGGUGAACUGGGCAGUCGUCAGUCUGGACACAAUGUUUACAGCCAUGGACUAAAUGAGACCAUCUAAUGAGUCUGUCGAUAGAAAACUCCAAAGAUUGAGUCAGGUUAGAGGUCAAGAAGCAGGUGAUAUAGAAAAGGAGCUGUCCACAAAAUGGGAACAACAACAACAACAACUAGGUGUGGUGUCUUAGAAGCAAGAUUC
rnacentral:lncRNA from 9 species